GGCGGGCCCCCCCGCAGUGCGGCGUGGUCAACCUGGUCAGGUCCGGAAGGAAGCAGCCACAGCCAUUCCCCGCACGUGCCGGGGUCCCGGCUCGCCCAC
rnacentral:SRP_RNA from 2 species